GGUCGGGCCCUGUGCAAUCGGAGCCCGUGAAUCGGGUCAGGGCCGGAAGGCAGCAGCUCUCAGCGGAACCUGCGGUGUGCCGCAGAUCGCCUGGCCGCC
rfam:Actinobacteria bacterium IMCC26207 IMCC26207_107, whole genome shotgun sequence.